UGAGGAACAUGACCUUCGGCGGGGGAUAGCCGGCCCAACGGCCGGGUAAUACCGCGUACGACCACAUGGGGACAUCCCUGAGUGGUGAAAGCAGCAAUGCGCCGAUGGAGUGCCUCGCGGCCUAUCAGCUAGUUGGUGAGGUAACGGCUCACCAAGGCGACGACGGGUAGCUGGUCUGAGAGGAUGGCCAGCCACAGUUGGGACUGAGACACCGGCCCAGACCUGUACCGGGGAGG
rnacentral:rRNA from 1 species